AUUGAACGCUGGCGGCAGGCCUAACACAUGCAAGUCGAACGAGUGGCGGACGGGUGAGUAAUGUCUGGGAAACUGCCUGAUGGAGGGGGAUAACUACUGGAAACGGUAGCUAAUACCGCAUACCAUCGGAUGUGCCCAGAGGGGAUUAGCUAGUAGGUGGGGUAAAGGCUCACCUAGGCGACGAUCCCUAGCUGGUCUGAGAGGAUGACCAGCCACACGGGAACUGAGACACGGCCCAGACGCCUACGGGAGGCAGCAGUGGGGAAUAUUGCGCAAUGGGCGCAACCCUGAGGCAGCCAUGCCGCGUGUAUGAAGAAGGCCUUCGGGUUGUAAAGUACUUUCAGUGGGGAGGCGUUACCUGCAGAAGAAGCACCGGCUAACUCCGUGCCAGCAGCCGCGGUAAUUC
rnacentral:rRNA from 1 species